rnacentral:rRNA from 1 species
AUGUUUUUGACAGCGGAAGCUUUAGCACUUAGGUUUGGCUUAUUGCUGGCACAAAAGGCGGGUUGCAAUCGCCUCGUUAUUAACUCUGACAACAUGGAAGUCUUUGACACAAUGAAGAACGGAGGACAUUCUGUAGGAGUGGCGGCCGCAGUUUUUGAUGAUUGCUCUUUUAUGGCUUGCGAUUUUCCUCCUACUAGUUUUGAACAUUGUAAUAGAAAAGCGAAUAAACUAGCUCAUGAGCUUGCUAUUCUAGCAAAAUGUUCCGGGACAAGGGAUUGGAUAGAAGAACCUAUGGAACCUUCUUAUAAACGAUGUAAUCAUUGUUUCUAA